UACGGGGGGGGCAAGCGUUGUUCGGAAUUACUGGGCGUAAAGGGCUCGUAGGCGGCCAACUAAGUCGGACGUGAAAUCCCUCGGCUUAACCGGGGAACUGCGUCCGAUACUGGAUGGCUUGAGUUUGGGAGAGGGAUGCGGAAUUCCAGGUGUAGCGGUGAAAUGGCGUAGAUAUCUGGAGGAACACCGGUGGCGAAGGCGGCAUCCUGGACCAACACUGACGCUGAGGAGCGAAAGCCAGGGGAGCAAACGGG
rnacentral:rRNA from 1 species